rnacentral:rRNA from 1 species
AUUUAUUUUAAUUUAUUUUAUUAAAAAUAUUUAUUCAUCUAAAUUUUUUUAGUAUUGUAAAAGAAAAAAUAAUGUAAAUUAUAAUUUAUUAGUAUUGUGAAAGAAAAUUGAAAAAUUGAAAAAUUUUUAAUUUAAAAGAAGAUUUAAUUUAUUGUACCUUGUGUAUCAGGGUUUAUUAAAUAAAGGUUAAUUAUUUUAAUUUUCUUGAUUUUAAAAGAGUUAAUAUAUUAUUAAAGUUAAUAUAAUAAAAUUAUUUUUAAUAAUGUAUUAGAAAUGAAAUGUUAUUCGUUUAUUAAAGAUAUCUAGUUUUUUAAUAAAUAAAUUUAAUUUAUAAAUUUUUUAUUAUUUAAUUAAUUAUAUUAAUUAAAUAAAUAUUUAAUUUAAAUAUUUUAUAGGAUAAGCUUUAAAAUAUAAAUUUAAAAAUUUAUCAAUUUUUAAUAAAUAUAGAUUUAGAAAUAGUUAUUAUUAUUAAGUUUAUUAUAAUUUAUUUUAUAUAAAUUAUUAUUUAUUAAAUUUUAAAUAUUUAUUAAAAUAUUUAUUUUAAUUUAUAAAAUAAAUUAAUAAUGAUAAAAUUAGUAUAUAUAUAUAUAAAUAAUGUAAAUUUAAUUAUUAUAUUGGAAAGUUUUAAUAAAGAAUUCGGCAAAAUAAUUUUCGCCUGUUUAACAAAAACAUGUCUUUUUUUUUAUUUAUAAAAAGUUUGACCUGCCCAUUGAUAAUUUUAACGGCCGCAGUAUAUUAACUGUGCAAAGGUAGCAUAAUCAUUAGUCUUUUAAUUGAAGGCUGGAAUGAAUGGUUGGACGAAAUAUUGACUGUUUCAUUAAUAUUUAUUGUAAAAUUUUAUUUUUUAGUUAAAAAGCUAAAAUUUAUUUAAAAGACGAGAAGACCCUAUAAAUCUUUAUAUUUAUUUUUAUUAAUUUUAUAUAGAAAUUUUAUAAUUUAAUAUAAUUAAUUAUUUUAUUGGGGUGAUAUUAAAAUUUAAUUAACUUUUAAUAGAUUUUUAUCAUUAAUUAAUGAAUUAUUGAUCUAUUAUUACUGAUUAAGAGAAUAAGUUACUUUAGGGAUAACAGCGUAAUUUUUUUGGAGAGUUCUUAUUAAUAAAAAAGAUUGCGACCUCGAUGUUGGAUUAAGAUAUAAUUUUAGGUGUAGAAGCUUAAAUUUUAAGUCUGUUCGACUUUUAAAUUCUUACAUGAUCUGAGUUCAAACCGGUUUAAGCCAGGUUGGUUUCUAUCUUUAUAAAUUUAUAAAUAUUUUAGUACGAAAGGAUCAAAUAUUUAAUAAAUUAUUAUUAUUAUAUUGAAUAUAAUUAAUU